UGAAGGUGAAAAUUGAGAAAGGACUGGGAAGAAAGAAAUGGAAUCCCAGAGUGGGGGUGGAUGGGGUUUGAGUGGAUGGGGGUUGCGCCAAUGGACAGAAACUCUCGCUCCAUAGCACUCCCUUUCCUGUAGCCUUGGAGCACCCCCCUUCCUGUCCCUGCUCGACUUUAGCUUGAGGCCACCAGCACAGACCUUGGCCUGGCCUUGCCUGUCUUGGGGCCCAACCCCCUGUUUAUAGGUUCAAGAAGGCCAUGAUCCCAGGGCCAUCGCGUCACCAAAGCCAAGCAAGGCCAGACCCUGGUCACUUUUGGCUUUCCAGCCCUGUCACCCCUCAGCCAGCUUAAUUAUUCAAUGGCCUGGCAGGGCUGAGGGACUGAACCAGUUGCCUGCCUGGGCGGGGGCAGCCAUGCCCGCAUGUUUUCCAUUAGUGUGGGAGCACACACACCAGACGUGCAAAGAUGAAGAGGGUGAGGCUCAGAGAGCUGGAGUCACUGGCCCAAGGCCACCUGCUAAGGAGCGGCAGUGCCAGGAAGUCACUUAAGCACAGAGCAGCUAUAAUUCCCUGCACAACUUGAGCACUGGGCUGUGCCAAGAUGAUACCACAAGCAUCUGGAUAAUCUGACCAAACAGUGCUACUCGGCUGGGGGUGGAUUUUGCCCCUACAGGAGACAUUAGAUUAUAUCUGGGGACAUUUGGGGUUGUCGCAACUGGAGAGAAGUUACUGGCGUCCGGUGGCUGGAGGCCAGAGAUGCUGCUCAGGACAAGACGCAUAGCAGAGAAUGAUCCAGCCCCAAAUGUCAGGAGCACCAAAGUUGAGAAAGGAGGCUGAGGCAGGUGGAUCACCUGAGGUCAAGAGUUCAAGAUCAGCCUGGCCAAUGGUGAAACCCCCCUCUCUACUAAAAAUACAAAAAUUAGCCAGGAGUCCUUAUACCACGGAGGCAGACGGAGACAUGCCUACAGAGAAGGAGAAGGCAGAGAGGAGAGAGAAUGACAGAAACAUAGACUGCGGUGAUGUGCUUUGAGAGCGAAGGGUGGGGCCAUAAGCCAAGGGCUUUGAGCAACCACUAGAAGCUGAAACAAGCAAGGAGACAGAUUCUCUCCUGGAGCCUCCAGAAGGAAGUGGUCUACCAACAUCCCAACUUCUCCCCUCUGAAACUGUAAGAGAAUAAAUGUGUGUUGUUUCCAGCCA
rnacentral:lncRNA from 13 species